UACGUAGGGUGCAAGCGUUAAUCGGAAUUACUGGGCGUAAAGCGUGCGCAGGCGGCUUUGCAAGAAUCAGAUGUGAAAUCCCCGGGCUCAACCUGGGAACUGCAUUUGUGACUGCAUGGCUAGAGUGCGGCAGAGGGGGAUGGAAUUCCGCGUGUAGCAGUGAAAUGCGUAGAUAUGCGGAGGAACACCGAUGGCGAAGGCAAUCCCCUGGGCCUGCACUGACGCUCAUGGCACGAAAGCGUGGGGAGCAAACAGG
rnacentral:rRNA from 1 species